rnacentral:lncRNA from 12 species
CGUUGAGUAAACGAUCCCGAAAUCGAAUCUAAAAGUUAAACAGGCCCGCGCCCGCACCACGUAGUCUCCCUCCACGCUUGUCCUUCUAGAAGCCAACAGUCCCAGGGCAAGGGCACGCACGCCCCGGACGCGGGGUCCACACCCCACCUGCUGCCCCCGCAUCCCAGGGACGCCCCGCUUCCCGCCCGUUCCCUCCGGCGCCCUGGCCUCCCUCCCCAGGCCUCCUCGAGGACGCAGGCCGGCCUCCUUCUCCAGCCUCCCCUACUCAGGGGUUUGUGGUCCAGUGGCUUCCUGCGGAAAGGGGCGGCAGGUCGUAUCACACCACCCGCAGGGCCAGAGAUGCCAGCUGGAGGAGGGGCGCCCCUCCCACUGUGGCAGGUGACGGAGAGGGGGCCUGGUGCCCCCUGGUCCUGCCCAGCUCCAUCCCAGAAGCACCAUUUCCACAGUAGAAUGGACUCCCCCACCCCACCACCCCAGGCACACCCAACUUCGUGUCAUGGUGGGUGAUAGAAGAAGGACGAACCCUCUUAAAGAUCACGUUCUUAAAAUCUUCAAAGGCAGCGCAGACGGUGCCAACCCACCCAGCUUCCGGAAGAUUGUAGGAAAUCUCCACACCCACCGUGGGGCUCGAGCUCACCACCCCGAGUUCGAGUCGCAGGGUCUUCUGACGGAGCCAGUGGGCGCCCCUGCUUGUAAGGCUUUUGAUUUCAAAGCGGGAGGCAGAGCAGACGUGGCCUGACUCGCCUGGACCUGAGCAGCCCCCGACCAGCAUCUCCGCCCCCCCAUCCGCUCCUCUCCUGC